CUGAUCUCAACCCCAGCUCCCACCCAGGCUCCCUAGCGCGUUCCUGGUCUGCCCCCUACGCUGGCCACCUCUGGUCCCACUCUGCCUCCUACACGGGAGCCCUGCUCUGGGCUGCGAUCUUGAGUCCUCAGAUGCCCCAACCCUCAUCCUUCAUGGCAGAUAGCUGGAGUUUCCAACUCUGUCCUGAGGACCCGAAGUGCGCUCCCUGGAUGAGUCUGGGCUGUGCCCCUGCGGAGCUUCAGUUUCUCCAGCUUGAAGCAGUGACUCUAAAGGUUUAUGAGCGCGAAUAAAGGGUCUCCACUCGUGACUGGAAUCCCCCAGAUGCCUUCUGAUGCUGUUAUGGAAUGAAGUAAGUGACAGCCCUUCCACACACCCACCGAGCUACCCACCUGCCCCUUAGCUACACGCCCACUUUGAACAGGUCCUGACAGAGACAAGACCAGUGCAGUUACCUUGGCUCUAAAGAGAAUGCAGUCGUUGGUUCUGACCCCAGGCCCACACCCUCGGUAUGAGCUCUGCCUCCACACCCCUCAGGGCAGUCCUGUGCAUUUACCCUUUCUCCCGUGUGUCUGCAUGAAUGCCCUGGAAGUCCCUAAGUGAUAGUCUGCAGGAGGUAGACACUGGAGAGGGCUCAUCCCUGACCCAGGAAGAGGGCAGGCUAGAGCAAGGACUAAACAUUGGCUUUGAAAAGGAGCAGUGUGCAGGUUGGUUAACCAGGGGCUUGGCUCAGGCCAGGAUUUUAGCCUCCUUGUAUGGAUAUUGAACAACACAUCAGAGCAGCUCAGAACUGCAGAAUCCGUGUUUGUGAAAUUUGCCUACUCACUGAAAUGUAUCUACAGCUCCAAGAUCAAUACUGGAAGUACAUUUGCAGCCCUUCACAGACAUGCACACAUCGAGAAAGUUGGAGUCACCAGUGGACAGGUGGAAAUUUUCUCCAUCUAUGUAAGGCAUGAUCUUUCACUUUUGUGUUUCAUAUUGGUGAUCUCACCAUUAAAGUGGCCUCUAGGUAUAAGCUCAAAAAACAAACAAACAAAAAAACAAAAAAACGCCACACCGUGUCCUAUGCAGAAAGCUCGAGCAGUCUAUGCCUGAGUUCUAGUGCUGCAGUCCCCAGUCAGUGUUGAGCAACAGCAGGUUGAGCAGGGAGCCUUGAAGAUGUGACCCAGAGGCUCACAGACACCUGCCUUGUGUUUCCUCAGAAGCAUGGCUCAGUCUUUGUUAGCCACACCUGGUUGAUGGCCCAUAGCUGAGACACGUCAGUCUUUGUUAUGUUGGCCGCUUUAUGGGACAUACCAACUGAUGAAACAAUAUACAUAUUCAGCUGACAUGCAAUCAUGGUUUACAGCAUGGUGAAUUUUCAUUUUUAUGUACCCAUGGAGCUACCCGCCAUGGAACACUCUAGACUCCUGGAAGUUUCAAUGUCCUCUGCCCCCAAAUUUGUGCCUCCAGAGAUGAGGUCAUUUCUCUUCUUGCCUCUUCAUUUUCAGGUUUGUUUGUUUGUUUUUUCCUGCAGGGGAGGGCUAGAAUUUUAUAGCAUGUCCACCCUUGUAUUUAAUUGACCCUUUCUACAGAAACCGAGGUUCACUGUGUGUUCUCCUGUAUCCGUCACUCAUUCUUUCUUCACUAUCUCUUUCUGUCUCUAUAAAGGAACUUUUUUGUUUGUUUGUUUGUUUGUUUGUUUUUUGAGACAGGGUUUCUCUGUGUAGCUUUGGAGCCUAUCCUGACACUUGCUCUGUAGACCAGGCUGGCCUCGAACUCACAGAGAUCUGCCUGCCUCUGCCUCCUGAAUGUUGGGAUUAAAGGCGUGUGCCACCAACGCCCGGCCUCUACAAAGGAACUUUACAUAUGAACACUGCAUCUAUAAUCACUCCUGCCUCUCCCUCCCCUACCAACUCCCCUCAUGUUCCCCCCAAAGUCCACAAUCCCUUCUUUCUUUAUUAUUGUUACACACACACACACACACACACACACACACACACACACACUCACAUGUAUAUAUAUAACCUACUGAGUCCAUUUACAAUAUAUCUAGUUUUAGUUUGCUUCCGUGUAUGAACACUUUUGCAGCAUGCAUGUCUGAGCAUCAUGGGAAUGAGUGCUUACACAGGCCAGAAGGUGGCGUCAAAUCCCCUGCAGGAGUCACAGAUGGUUGUGAGCUGCCAUGUGGGUGCUGAGAAU